GACGAACGCUGGCGGCGUGCUUAACACAUGCAAGUCGAACGGUGAUGCUCCAGCUUGCUGGAGUGGAUCAGUGGCGAACGGGUGAGUAACACGUGAGCAACCUGCCCCAGACUCUGGAAUAAGCGCUGGAAGCGGCGUCUAAUACUGGAUACGAAACUGGCCCGCAUGGGCAUGGUUUGGAAAGUUUUUCGGUUUGGGAUGGGCUCGCGGCCUAUCAGCUUGUUGGUGAGGUAAUGGCUCACCAAGGCGACGACGGGUAGCCGGCCUGAGAGGGCGACCGGCCACACUGGGACUGAGACACGGCCCAGACUCCUACGGGAGGCAGCAGUGGGGAAUAUUGCACAAUGGGCGAAAGCCUGAUGCAGCGACGCCGCGUGAGGGAUGACGGCCUUCGGGUUGUAAACCUCUUUCAGCAGGGAAGAAGCGAAAGUGACGGUACCUGCAGAAGAAGCACCGGCUAACUACGUG
rnacentral:rRNA from 1 species